GGCGGCGUGCCUAAUACAUGCAAGUCGAGCGGACAGAUGGGAGCUUGCUCCCUGAUGUUAGCGGCGGACGGGUGAGUAACACGUGGGUAACCUGCCUGUAAGACUGGGAUAACUCCGGGAAACCGGGGCUAAUACCGGAUGGUUGUUUGAACCGCAUGGUUCAAACAUAAAAGGUGGCUUCGGCUACCACUUACAGAUGGACCCGCGGCGCAUUAGCUAGUUGGUGAGGUAACGGCUCACCAAGGCAACGAUGCGUAGCCGACCUGAGAGGGUGAUCGGCCACACUGGGACUGAGACACGGCCCAGACUCCUACGGGAGGCAGCAGUAGGGAAUCUUCCGCAAUGGACGAAAGUCUGACGGAGCAACGCCGCGUGAGUGAUGAAGGUUUUCGGAUCGUAAAGCUCUGUUGUUAGGGAAGAACAAGUACCGUUCGAAUAGGGCGGUACCUUGACGGUACCUAACCAGAAAGCCACGGCUAACUACGUGCCA
rnacentral:rRNA from 1 species